UUUCUCUUUAGGACAGUGCCAGGGAAUACAUGGGACAGAGAACUCCAGGCUCAUGCCACUUCUGACUCCCCACUGGCCCACCAAGGCUCAGAUGGUUGACUUGCAUCAAGCUCCUCACAGACAUGGGAAUACAUUUACCCAGAAAGGUCCACAGUGCACAUUGGCUUUGCUGAUAAACUUAUCAGCAGCAGAGUGAAACAUCCGUUUCAUUUGUACUGUUUAUGCAGAGGCUUUUUUUCUGGUUGAAGGACCACAGAGAGACAAGUGGGUAGGAAUGGCAACAAUCCUCCCAACAAGCCCAGGCACCCCUGGCAGCAGCCACACCCGCCCUUCACCC